rnacentral:rRNA from 1 species
ACGGAAGGCAGCAGUGAGGAAUAUUGGUCAAUGGGCGGAAGCCUGAACCAGCCAUGUCGCGUGCAGGACUACGGCCCUACGGGUCUUAAACUGCUUUUGAUUGGGGAUAAAGUGGGGGACGCGUCCCCUAUUGCAGGUACCAAUCGAAUAAGGAUCGGCUAACUCCGUGCCAGCAGCCGCGGUAAUACGGAGGAUCCGAGCGUUAUCCGGAUUUAUUGGGUUUAAAGGGUGCGUAGGCGGGCUGUUAAGUCAGCGGUGAAACCCCCGGGCUCAACCCGGGGACUGCCAUUGAAACUGGCGGCCUAGAGUACGUUGGGAGUGCGCGGAAUGUGUGGUGUAGCGGUGAAAUGCAUAGAUAUCACACAGAACACCGAUUGCGAAGGCAGGAUACCAUACCAUAUCUGACGCUCAGGCACGAAAGCGUGGGGAUCGAACAGGAUUAGAUACCCUGGUA